GUCGAGGGAGAUUGUUGGAUUCGUCUGACAUGAAACCGGCGCACGGGUGCGUAACACGUAUGCAACCUACCUUUAACUGGGGUAUAGCUCAGAGAAAUCUGAAUUAAUCCCCCAUAAGACUACGACAUGGCAUCAUGAUGUAGUUAAAGCUCCGGCGGUUAAGGAUGGGCAUGCGGUACAUUAGCUAGUUGGUGAGGUAAUGGCUCACCAAGGCUACGAUGUAUAGGGGGUCUGAGAGGAUGAUCCCCCACACUGGUACUGAGACACGGACCAGACUCCUACGGGAGGCAGCAGUAGGGAAUAUUGGUCAAUGGACGCAAGUCUGAACCAGCCAUGCCGCGUGAAGGAUGAAGGCCCUAUGGGUCGUAAACUUCUUUUAUUAGGGAAGAAAAAAUGGGAUGCGUCCUAUACUGACGGUACUUAAUGAAUAAGGAUCGGCUAACUUCGUGCCAGCAGCCGCGGUAAGACGAAGGAUCCAAGCGUUGUCCGGAUUUACUGGGUUUAAAGGGUGCGUAGGCGGAAAAUUAAGUCAGUGGUGAAAGCCCGCAGCUCAACUGUGGAACUGCCAUUGAAACUGGUUUUCUUGAAUAUAGCUGAGGCAGAUGGAAUACAACAUGUAGCGGUGAAAUGCUUAGAUAUGUUAUAGAACACCGAUUGCGAAGGCAGUCUGCUAAACUAUUAUUGACGCUGAGGCACGAAAGCGUGGGGAGCGAACAGGAUUAGAUACCCUGGUAGUCCACGCCCUAAACG
rnacentral:rRNA from 1 species